rnacentral:lncRNA from 10 species
AAUAGAAUCACUAAAAGAAUUUCUAGAAAAAAAUUAUUUUAUUUAGCUUUUAGAGUAAGAUUUUAGUGAACAAGUUGGAAGAAUUAUGAAAGUUAAAUAUUAUUUGAAUUUCACACAUGGAUAUAUAAUUUCAAAUAAUCAUUGCUCAAUUUAAUAAUUAAACUAAUAAAAAACUCAUUUUCUGACAUUAUUUCUUAUGGAUAGUGAUUUCCAGGGGAAAAAAUGGAUUAAGGGUAUAUUAGCAGCUCACUUCGGCAGCACAUAUACUAAAAUUGUAAUGAUACAAAGAUUAGCAUGGUCCCUGCAGGAGGAUGACAUGCAAAUUCGUGAAGUGUUCUAUGUUUUUAAAAACAAAUUAAAAAAGAAUUAAAUUAGCUUUUCCCUUUAUCAAGUGGCAUGACGAUGAGAAGAUUGUGGGCAUUACUACUUCCCCUUUAGGAAUGAGAAUUCUUCACAUAUCAGAAAUGCUUUCAUUCAGAACUAGGAAAAGGAAUGUUCCUUUGCAGUAGAAGAUUCUAUGAAGAUUGUGGUUAUAUCUAUAAUGUCUCAAAUAGAAAACAAAUAGAAUGAAAAAUUAAACCAAGUUUUAAAAUUAAUUUUAAGAUUAGAUGGUAAUUAAUUAAAUUCACAAUGCAGUGAUUUUAUUGUUAUUAAGAUGUCCAGAAUAACAGUUGUUAUAAAGUCACAAUGCAGAUAUUUUAGUCAUAUAGAACCUUCAAUAAAGAAAAUAUGUCACAUUUUUCAAAAGAACUAAAGGACCAGCGAAGUAUGCUGAGCAUUUUCAAUUUUACUUCUACCACAUCUCUCACUCCUUCCCAUUCUCUGCAUCUCCAGAUUGUUACCUUAGUUCACUUCUUCAUACCUGUAAACUCUAAGCGAAUCUCCCUACUGUUAAGUUCACAGAAUUACUUACCUUCUAAAAUGGUAAGUUGAUCGUGUUAACUCCCAGCUAAAACUUCACUAGCCUACUAUAAUCUGAUUGAAGACAUUUAAUUUGUUAUAUCCUGCCGGGCACACCUGUAAUCACAGCACUUUGGGAGGCCGAGGCAGACAGAUCACCUGAGGUCAGGAGUUUGAGACCAGCCUGGCCAACGUGGCGAAACCCUGUCUCUACUA